GAUCGAUGACGUCAAUGAAAGGUAAAGUCAUUUCAGAGCUGGAACAAGUUCAUGCAUUUUGAUGAAAGAUUUCAGAUCUUUCACUUAUUCACAUCUACAACCAGCGUGAUCCCACCCACCCUAAAAUGACCUGCUCAUGAUUUCCAAAACACUGCGUCACGUGUAUUUCUGCAAAAACAAGCAAAGUUCAGCGUAUAGGUGCUCCGGCUGUGAACGAUGAAGUAACUUGUGAUGUUGCAGAAAUGUGUGAAUGUAAUGUGACGGUUCACACUGAGGUCACAUGGUGCAUUGGAU